AAAAAGGCCCUUUUCAGGGCCACACAACACACAACCCACCAGCAUGU
rfam:Asian citrus Psyllid, Diaphorina citri - Florida Strain, whole genome shotgun sequence.